rnacentral:rRNA from 1 species
UACAGCGGUGGCAAGCGUUGUUCGGAAUUACUGGGCGUAAAGGGCGCGUAGGCGGCCUUCUAAGUCAGACGUGAAAUCCCCGGCUUAACCUGGGAACUGCGUCUGAUACUGGGAGGCUUGAGUAUGGGAGAGGGAUGUAGAAUUCCAGGUGUAGCGGUGAAAUGCGUAGAUAUCUGGAGGAAUACCGGUGGCGAAGGCGGCAUCCUGGACCAUAACUGACGCUGAGGCGCGAAAGCUAGGGGAGCAAACGGG